UGAAUGGGACCAGGCUGAAAUAACUAAGAUGAUUAUGUUGCCAUCACAUGCUGGUAACACAAAUCAUCAACACAUCAGUUGCUGGUAACACAUAAAUGACAGGCCAAGCUGCUUGCUCUGCAGCAGGCCUCUCAUUUAUUCAGUCUUGGUCUUCUCUCCUCUUCCAAAUCUCUGUGGUCUCCUGCGUUGCUGCUUGCGAUGGCAAUAUAAUUGUCUUAAUUAGUUCAGCAUAUCAUUAGCAUAGGCUUGUUUGUCUAAGGUGGUAGUAGUUCUGCCUGCUUUAAUAUCAUUCUUAUGCCCCUCAGGUCUUUGUCUUGGGGUUCUGUUGGUCACUCCUAUGUGCGCGACUUCUCUGUUCUGAUCUGGAAGUCUGACUGGGAGCUUGUAGACGCCUGACCUCUCAAGGUUCCUUCAUGAGUCUUUUUCGUUACAUAAAGUGUUAUAUAGGCUAUUGUUGGAGUACCUUUAGAUGAUAGGAUCUGCCUAUCAUCUAAAGGUAUAGUACUAUACCUUUAGAUGAUAUACUAUACCUUUAGAGGUGAGAGAGCCUAUAAUUAUGUGUCAGAUAGCAGCGAAUUGCAGAAAGAACUGGAAUACAUCUACAGUGCAGGCUAUAACCAUGACUAUAGUAGAUGCUUUCUAGAAACUAUUCAUUGUAGAGUAAAAGUAACCCUUAGCCAGUUACAGCAGAACAAAAGUCAAGGACACACAAGUGAGAAUGGUUAUGUGCCGCUACCGUACCAUAUGUCUAAGUCAAGGGUCCUAAGAACAUUAGCCGUAAAAACUGGAAGAAGAUAACAACAAAAAGAGUGCAGACCCUAUAUAACACUUUACAUAGC
rnacentral:lncRNA from 1 species